UCAUUCCUCAUUCCUUUACCGUCCGAUCAUCAACAGCUCUUCUAAGCCAUCUAUGAAAUCCCUAGCCACCAUAUAAACCCAAAUUCAACAUCCGUUCCCAACAUAUUCCAUUUUUUGAUUUCGUUCACAAAAAUUCCAUUUAGUAAUUCCUCUCUCCAUUUCACCGAUUCAAAUCAAAUUCAUCGAUCAUGAGAUUCAAGAAAGGCAGCAAAGUUGAGGUAUUGACCAAGAAGGAGGUUCCAACCGGCGCUUGGCGCUGCGCGGAGAUUAUCUCUGGCAACGGUCAUACGUACAGCGUGAAGUACGGUUGGUUUCCGAUCACUGGCGACGCGGCGGCGGUGGAAAGAGUCCCUAGGAAAGCGAUUAGGCCUUGCCCUCCUCCUAUAAACGGGACCGAUAAUUGGGUUUCUGGUGAUGUCGUAGAGGUCUUCGACGAAUUGUGUUGGAAGCCGGCGGUGAUUGUUAGGGUUUUCGGUGGAAACAACUUUUCGGUUCGGAUUCUUGGAUCGAAUAGCGAACUCAAAGCACAUCAAUCUCGAUUGCGUGUUCGACAAUCUUGGGAAGAUGGCAAUUGGUUCCUUGUUGGAAAGGGAUUGUCAAAUUCCACAGGACGGCCGAAAAGGAAAAGAUCUUCGAUUGGCUUCUCGGAUGCUCGUGGGCAGAAGAAGAGGGUGAUUGAGAAAGGUAGUAUUGGUGUUCAAAGAAUAAUAAUUCGGCUUCCUACGCCUGCCUCUGAAAAGGUAGAUGCAUUUGUUUCCCCAAAUAAUAUACUGGGUGAAAGAUGUAUGCCUUCUUCCUUUCAUAGAGUUGAUGAUACCAUGAGUUGCGCAUCAUCUGUUGGUAGUUGUAGUGGUUUAGGGAAUAAUGGUCUUUACUUGUCUCCUAGUUCUGUAACAAACGGUUGUGAAAACUUAGAGGAUUAUUGUAGUGAUGCUGAUUCGUAUUCUAAAAGGAGAUGCGGAGAAGAAGGAAGUUCCAUUUCCACUAGUGUGGAAUUGGGAACUGAUUUCCAUAGGUCGGAGCUACAUGCCUAUCAACAAGCUCUUGGUGCAUUUUAUGCUUCUGGGCCUUUGACUUGGGAAGAAGAAGAAAAGAAUAUCUCAUGGCCAAUGUUGGAGGCAUCCAUACCUUGCUUCUAAAGCCAUUAUGGGUUGAGUUUGUCAUCUCUUGCAGUUGACCAGGGAGCAACAUCCAUGGUUUAUUGCUAAAGGAGCUCUUAAGCCCUGUUGUUGGUAUGAAUCAUUUCUAAAAAUAUUUUUCAAAAUUUGAUUUAUUUAUGGCAAUGCUGGUAUAGGUCAUUGUAUUCCUUGUUGCAUAUAAAACAAGACAAUCUUAAAAGCCGCCCUACAGUUAGUAUGUAAAUUGAUACGUUGCAGUUGAACUUACGGAAAGACAAUUCUUUUUUUUUUUUUUUUUAAAGGAUACAUGAGAAUUUAAGUUAUAAUAUAAUAGUUGGAAACGGUUUUUAUCUCUAGAAUGUACAUAUCCAAUAAUGGAACAAUAUGGGUAGGACGAUUAAUAAACCUCUCUCUCUCUCUCUUGUGCAAAAACUUGUAAUUUAAAUGCUUGAGUAUUGACAAGAACAUGUUACCAUCUUUUAACUGUAAAAAUUCAAAUUUGGCCGUUUGGGGGCUACAUUCUUACUGUCUCUCGGUAUAAACAAGUUCAUACAUUAUGAUGAUUGAUGAUAUUGUUCAAGUUAAAUAUGCAUGGUUACAUGCUAUGAUGAAAUGGUGUUCUAACUUCAUAGGUGGUUGCUUGAUUUGUUAGAUGGGUACUUGUAAGUUCCUUCAAAACUCCAAGUUCGAAAAUCUUCUCUUGUCCUUGAGAGUAAUGUGCUUGGAUGCAAAUCCAUGCUGCGGGUAGCAUGAACUUUUCCUCUAAUCAUGUACACUUGGUGAUGCACUGAAAGACUUCUUGAGGAGAAAUGUCUGUUUACAUAUUCAUAUGUCAGGUUCCUAUUCAUUGUUAUUGAAUGCAGCCAUCAACUGAAAUAGAUGCUUCAGUUUAUACCUUUUAAUACCAGGUAGGUCGUUCCAAUUGGUAAGUCUUGUCUGCUAUUUGUUGUUCACUCGUUUUAUGCUACUUAUGGCAUUUUUGUUGAGACUAGUGGGAGGUGGUUUAGGAUUUUACAUCAUUUUACUAUUUGAUAGGGCUGUGCCAAAAUAUCAAGAAAACAGGCACUGAGCUGUUUAGUUUUUGAUAGUCAUUAUGUUUUCAUUACCUGAUGUAAUUGGAACCGAAGAAAUUGGUCUGCUUAUUUUUCUCCAUUAGACACGGAAAAAAUCCAAUUCAUUGUUAGCACAAAAAGAUCCUAAAAGAAAUGCCAAAAUUUGGAAUUGUUUAGUGGACCAAGCCCAAGCACAUUGCUGUGCAAAUAAAAGGCCAGGUUCAAAUGAAUUCAUUGUUUAAACUGAGUCCAAUGUGAAAUGCCACCUGCCCUUCCUGUCUUUCAGCAUUCUCCUCCCCCACAAAGUCGUUACAAACCUCUUAGCUCGGAUCUCAGUGGGUUACUCACCCUCAGACUGUCAUGCCUCAUCGUCAUUCUCUUCCCCAUGUGCCAUGACUUCCUCUUCCAGCCUGCUUCCUUCUUCAAGUUAAGUUAUUAACUUUACUUUUUUAAAGCUUUUUGGAAUUUGUAACAUGUUUUAAUUGAACAGUUUGGAAUUUCUUCAUUUAUUUUACAAGAGAAGUAAUUGUUUCCUUUCUGUUUUAAAUUUUUAGUUCUUGUGUCAAACAUGCAGUUUAUAAAUUUUAACCAAAGGUAUAUUAUGAUGCUUGUUUGGAUUUGAUUAGGGAAACAGUUUUUAUACGUAAUGCUUGACAGGCAGCUAAACUUUAGUGUGAUUUUAUUAAAACACUUGAUUAUUUUGUGGAAAACAUACAAGAAGUGAUGACUAGAUUUUUUUUUGUCUGAUUGUAGCUACUAGGCUUCCAAAGCUUUUUCUCUCUUUUGUAGUUUUUGAAAUUAUUGCCACUGCUUGCUCAAAAUAUUAGAUUGAAAAAGCUGAAUUUGUGGAUUUGGUUAACUAUAUUCUUUUAUGCUAUGUUUGGAAAGAUGAAUUUGAGAGAGUGGCUUGGAUUUGAUUUGCUAUACAGACUGUGAGAAUGAAAUUUACAUGCUAUGCACAAAUUAGUUAAGAUUCAGUAUGCCUAUACAUUUGAACAUGUAUAACAAGAUAAUUUCAGAUUCACAAAUAUAUAUAGUUAUUUCAAAUUCACUACCAAAUAGCAAUCCAUCAAAUUUAUGAAUUUGGAAAUAAUCAUGAAGGUCUGGCCCUAUUUGUAUGUUCUUUAUCAUAUAAUUUAUCCUAAAUAUAAAUAUAAAUUCUUUCUUUUAUAUGAUAAAGACCAAGUGCUUCACCCUUCAUUUUAUUGAUUAUGAAUGAAACAUGAAGCUUUUUUUUUCUUUUUUCAUUACAAGUCAUUUUUCCUUUUUUUAUUAAUCUUUUCAGCAAGUUGAUUUGAAGAAUUUCACGAGUAACAACCAUUUCACUGGAUAUGAAAUUUAGUUUUGCAUUUAUUGUUUUAAUUUCAUAUCAUGGAAUGUGGAUUUGCAGUUGUAUGUUUUCAUUUAGUUGUGUUAAAUUGAAACUGCCAACCCAGAGUUUAACUUAAAAAAAAAUUGCCUUGUGGUAUGCUGAUAUGGUUUGGUUCAUGUGGAGCCUAUUUGGUGACUUGAUGUCAUUGUUAUUAUUAUUUUGGCCAGCUAGGCGAUGUCAUUGUAAGUUUGUUACUUUGUUAGAGCUUGUUGUUUCCUUGUUUGGAUAAUUUUUAAGUUGUGAUGUUUGUUUUUGGAAAGCUUAGAAAUUUUAGUGGUUGUCAAUUAAGUUGUGGUUGUUUUUUCUUUUUCAAGUAAUUCAUUCACACCAAAAAAAA